AACCAGAUAACUCAGUCUGUAGAGCACUUGUCUGAAAAACAAGGGGUGGGCAGUUUCAUUCAGGUUACCA
rnacentral:tRNA from 2 species